rnacentral:tRNA from 1 species
GCCUCGUAGCUCAAUGGUAGAGCGCGUCACUAGUAAUGACGAGGUUGCCGGUUCGAUUCCGUCCGAGGGCA